CCUACGGGGGGCAGCAGUGGGGAAUAUUGCGCAAUGGGCGAAAGCCUGACGCAGCGACGCCGCGUGAGGGAUGAAGGUCUUCGGAUCGUAAACCUCUGUCAGCAGGGAAGAACGGUCACUGUGCUAAUCAGCAGUGAAUUGACGGUAACUGCAAAGGAAGCACCGGCUAACUCCGUGCCAGCAGCCGCGGUAAUACGGAGGGUGCGAGCGUUAAUCGGAAUUACUGGGCGUAAAGCGCUCGUAGGCGGUAUGUCAAGUCAAGGGUGAAAUCCCCGCGCUCAACGUGGGAACUGCCUUUGAAACUGGCAGACUGGAGUGUGUGAGAGGAUAGUGGAAUUCCAGGUGUAGGAGUGAAAUCCGUAGAUAUCUGGAGGAACAUCAGUGGCGAAGGCGACUAUCUGGCACAUAACUGACGCUGAGGAGCGAAAGCGUGGGUAGCAAACAGGAUUAGAUACCCUAGUAGUC
rnacentral:rRNA from 1 species